rnacentral:rRNA from 1 species
AUUGAACGCUGGCGGCAGGCCUAACACAUGCAAGUCGAACGGUAACAGGAAACAGCUUGCUGUUUCGCUGACGAGUGGCGGACGGGUGAGUAAUGUCUGGGAAACUGCCUGAUGGAGGGGGAUAACUACUGGAAACGGUAGCUAAUACCGCAUAACGUCGCAAGACCAAAGAGGGGGACCUACGGGCCUCUUGCCAUCGGAUGUGCCCAGAUGGGAUUAGCUAGUAGGUGGGGUAACGGCUCACCUAGGCGACGAUCCCUAGCUGGUCUGAGAGGAUGACCAGCCACACUGGAACUGAGACACGGUCCAGACUCCUACGGGAGGCAGCAGUGGGGAAUAUUGCACAAUGGGCGCAAGCCUGAUGCAGCCAUGCCGCGUGUAUGAAGAAGGCCUUCGGGUUGUAAAGUACUUUCAGCGGGGAGGAAGGGAGUAAAGUUAAUACCUUUGCUCAUUGACGUUACCCGCAGAAGAAGCACCGGCCAACUCCGUG